rnacentral:rRNA from 1 species
GAAAGAAUAUCGGAGACGGAUGGGCAUGCGGCGCAUUAGCUAGUUGGCGGGGUAACGGCCCACCAAGGCGACGAUGCGUAGGGGUUCUGAGAGGAAGGUCCCCCACACUGGUACUGAGACACGGACCAGACUCCUACGGGAGGCAGCAGUGAGGAAUAUUGGUCAAUGGGCGAGAGCCUGAACCAGCCAAGUCGCGUGAGGGAGUACUGCCCUAUGGGUUGUAAACCUCUUUUGUCGGGGAGCAAAAGCCGGACGUGUCCGGCUGUGAGAGUACCCGAAGAAAAAGCAUCGGCUAACUCCGUGCCAGCAGCCGCGGUAAUACGGAGGAUGCGAGCGUUAUCCGGAUUUAUUGGGUUUAAAGGGUGCGCAGGCGGAUUUUUAAGUCAGCGGUCAAAUCGUGGGGCUCAACCCCAUCCAGCCGUUGAAACUGGGGAUCUAGAGUGUGCGAGAGGUAUGCGGAAUGCGUGGUGUAGCGGUGAAAUGCAUAGAUAUCACGCAGAACCCCGAUUGCGAAGGCAGCAUACCGGUGCACAACUGACGCUCAGGCACGAAAGCGUGGGUAUCGAACAGGAUUAGAUACCCUGGUAGUCCACGCAGUAAACGAUGAAUGCU